rnacentral:rRNA from 1 species
UACGGGGGGGGCAAGCGUUGUUCGGAAUUACUGGGCGUAAAGGGCUCGUAGGCGGCCAACUAAGUCAGACGUGAAAUCCCUCGGCUUAACCGGGGAACUGCAUCUGAUACUGGAUGGCUUGAGUUCGGGAGAGGGAUGCGGAAUUCCAGGUGUAGCGGUGAAAUGCGUAGAUAUCUGGAGGAACACCGGUGGCGAAGGCGGCGUUCUGGAACAUUUCUGACGCUGAGGCUCGAAAGCGUGGGGAGCAAACAGG